rnacentral:rRNA from 1 species
AAGAGACAGCAGCAGCCACGGGAAUACAGAGGGUGCGAGCGUUAAUCGGAUUUACUGGGCGUAAAGCGUGCGUAGGCGGCUUUUUAAGUCGGAUGUGAAAUCCCUGAGCUUAACUUAGGAAUUGCAUUCGAUACUGGGAAGCUAGAGUAUGGGAGAGGAUGGUAGAAUUCCAGGUGUAGCGGUGAAAUGCGUAGAGAUCUGGAGGAAUACCGAUGGCGAAGGCAGCCAUCUGGCCUAAUACUGACGCUGAGGUACGAAAGCAUGGGGAGCAAACAGGAUUAGAUACCCCCGUAGUCCCUGUCUCUUAUAC